ensembl:lncRNA
AAAAAAAAGGAUUUUUGAAUUUUUUAUUGGCAGGUGGAAGAGAUAGGAAGACUGGUUAUGUCCCUGGGAAGGUCAGGUACAGAGGAAGAUUCCUGGAGAGAGGAGAGGAGCCCUGCAACAUGGCAGGAGGCUAAGGUCUGAGGAGGAAGAGAGCUGGUGAGAAUUUCCAAGGGGAAAGCAUUGUCUUAGAACCUGACUCACCUGAUUUUGCUAAUGAGUCAACUUCAAAGUGUGCCUCAUUCCGGAAAGUGAAUCAUGUAAUCACAGUAAGUUAUGCGUAUAACAGGCAUAGAUGGUUCCUUCGUGCUAUAUUUAAGCCAGUGUUGUACCGCCUUUUCUGUCUGUAAUUCCUCACAUUUGUCAGAUUAGGUCAGUAUAAAGGGCUGUACUUUUUUUUGACAAGGACAUAGUUUCCAUGUUAGCUUCUUUUGCCCUUAACUGCUAUUUUGAAGAUAAAGUUUAAUUUUCCAGGCUUUAGAUUGAAGAAAAACUCAAUUUGCAGUUAGCUUUAAGUGGCUACGAUGUUAUGACAUACUUCUAUUGAGAAAUAUAAAGAUAAUACCUGUGACUGACAUUAGUAUUUUCAUGGCUUUGUGUGCAGGUUACAUGUGUGUUAUACAAUGUCUGUAAUGCCACUAGACCAGGCUCCAUUUAUUCUGCUUUUAUUUGUGUUAGUCUGUUUUGUCUUGCUAUCCAGGAAGACCUGAGGGUCAUUUAAAAAGAAAAGAGGCUUGUUUGGCUCACAGUUCUGCAGGCUAUAUAAGCAUGGCACCAGCAUCUGCUUGGCUUCUGGGGAGGCCCCUGGAAGCUUCCAAUCAUGGUGGAAGGUGAAGGGAAGGCAGGUAAGUCACAUGUUGGGAAAAGAAGCAAGGAGGGGAAGGAGGCACUAGACUCUUUUAAACAACCAGCUCUCACAUGAACUAAUAGAGCAGGAACUCAGUUCCACAGGGAAUUCAUGAGGGCUCCACCCUCCUGACCAAAAAGCUUCCCACCAGGCCCCGCCUCCAACACUGGGGGUCACAUUUCAAUGAAAUUUUGAGUUAUGAUUGAUUACAUUAAUGAAUUUCCACUAUUUUACUGGUUGCGCUUAGAAUAGAAGUUCAAGGAUUUUAAUAUUAGCCUAUAGCCCAUGUUAACUUGGAACAGAACCGAGCCUUUAGUAUCAACCAAACUACCAGGCAACAUGUGACUUUUUUUUUUUUUUUUUUACAUGGCAGAAUAUACUUCAUUGUAUUUCAUGGUCUGCAGACAUUUUUUGGAAUAGAACACUGAAAAUUUUUAUUUGUGUAUCAUGUAAAUAUUUAAAUUGUUUAAGCAUAUUUUGAUAUCAUACACUUCAUAAAUAUACACAAAGUUGUAAUUGUUAAAAAUGUUAGGUAAAAAAUAAACAUAAAUUGCAGUUAUGAUCUUUUCUUUUUGUCUACCCUUUGGGGGUUGUGCUCUCUAUUUGGACUUCUCAGCCAAGGUCACAAAAUCACGAUUAGAUCCACCUUUAUCCAACUAGGGAAAUAAAAACAAAACCAGUAUUAUUGUUCUAGAAGGAAUUAUUCUGAGUUUUUUGUCCAACUACUUGCUUUUUAGGCACAAUUAGGAGAUUGUUUUUAAGAUAAUAUUAAUAAUGUGUUUUUCAACGUUCUAAAUGUUAAAGAACUCACUCAAUCAUGUGUCAGAGAUAAUGACCCCAGAUAACUGGAAAAGCAUAUAAGUGAGGACAUGACUGUGAUUCAUUUCCCCUGUGUGGUCACUGUCUGACUCUGUGGAAUCAAGUUUUCACUUGAGAGCCAGGGGUGUCUGGGACCUGGGAAGAAUGCACCCCUGCCCAGGAUACCCAUUUUGUCAGUCACAUACCCAAAACCAAGGGUGUGCGAGUGACGACUAAGGCCAAGAUUGGAACCUACUCAUAGGAGAAGCUUCAUUUGGUCCUUCUCCAGCAGUGCCAAUAUAGUCACUUCUAAUCAGCAAUUUGAGGAAUGGAAGGGCAUAUUCAGUUUUUCUGUGCUGGUAAUUUGAAAACAGCUUGAUAACAGCUUGUUCAAAUGAGGAAUGGAUAGAACAUCAGUUUAAAUCAACUCUGAGAGACAGAGGCAAAACUUUUGUGUGCCCGGUAUUCCCAUUGGCUAACCCUGUGCCUAAACCUCCAUACCAAGGCUUCUGAGAGCUUUUGUC